rnacentral:rRNA from 1 species
CGGAACGUGCCUAGUAAUGGGGAAUAACUAGCUGAAAGGUUAGCUAAUGCCGCAUACGACCUACGGGUGAAAGCAGGGGAUCUUCGGACCUUGCGUUAUUAGAGCGGCCGAUAUCUGAUUAGCUUGUUGGUGGGGUAAUGGCCUACCAAGGCGACGAUCAGUAGCUGGUCUGAGAGGACGAUCAGCCACACUGGAACUGAGACACGGUCCAGACUCCUACGGGAGGCAGCAGUGGGGAAUUUUGGACAAUGGGGGCAACCCUGAUCCAGCCAUUCCGCGUGAGUGAAGAAGGCCUUCGGGUUGUAAAGCUCUUUCGCAAGAGAAGAAAACUUGCUAUCUAAUAAAUAGUAAGUAUGACGGUAUCUUGACAAGAAGCACCGGCUAACUAC